rnacentral:rRNA from 1 species
UUCUGUGCGCCGUUACCGUAAAGAGGGAUAAGUCCAAGCUAAUCUCGGAUUAAUUCCUUUAUAACUAGAAUUGGAACGGCAUCCAUUAGUCUGGAAACGAUUUCAUCGCACGUUCAGAAUAGGCAUGCGUAAGAUUUAGUUAGAUCGGUACGUCAACAGGCUUACCCAAGCACUGAAUGAUUCUUUAGGAGGGACUGACGAGGGUGAACCCCCCCCUAACUGGUACUGACGACACCGGACCAGAGUCCUUAGGGGGAGGCAGCAAUUGAGGAAUAUUGGACAAUGGGUUGGAAGCCUGAUCCAGCCAUCCGCGAUGUAGGAUGACGGCCUUAUUGGUUGUAAAUUACUUUUAUGUGGGGAUAAACCUACUCACGUGUAAGUAGCUGACGGUACCCAGAAAGAAUAAGCACUGGCUAACUCCGUGCCCAGCAGCCGCGGUAAUACGGAGGGUGCAAGCUUUAUCCGGAUUUAUUGGGUUUAAAGGGUCCGUAGGCGGAUUAAUCAGUCAGUGGUGAAAUCCCUUAGCUUAACUAAGGAACUGCCCAUUGAUACUGUUAGUCUUGAGUGAGGUUGCAGUGGCUGGAAUGUGUAGUGUAGCGGUGAAAUGCUUAGAUAUUACGCAGAACACCAAUUGCGAAGGCAGGUCACUAAGCCUCAACUGACGCUGAUGGACGAAAGCGUGGGGAGCGAACAGGAUUAGAUACCCUGGUAGUCCACGCCGUAAACGAUGGAUACGUGCUGUCGGAUUUUCGGAUUCAGUGGCUAAGCGAAAGUUAUAAGUAUCCCACCUGGGGAGUACGUUCGCAAGAAUGAAACUCAAAGGAAUUGACGGGGGCCCGCACAAGCGGUGGAGCAUGUGGUUUAAUUCGAUGAUACGCGAGGAACCUUACCAAGGCUUAAAUGCAUAAUGACGUAUUUGGAAACAGAUAUUUCUUCGGACAGAAUGCAAGGUGCUGCAUGGCUGUCGUCAGCUCGUGCCGUGAGGUGUUAGGUUAAGUCCUGCAACGAGCGCAACCCCUAUCCUUAGUUGCCAGCGUUUAAAGACGGGGACUCUAAUGAGACUGCCGGUGCAAACCGCGAGGAAGGUGGGGACGACGUCAAGUCAUCACGGCCCUUACGUCUUGGGCUACACACGUGCUACAAUGGUAAGUACAGAGGGCAGCUACUUAGCAAUAAGAUGCGAAUCUCAAAAACUUAUCUCAGUUCGGAUUGGAGUCUGCAACUCGACUCUAUGAAGCUGGAAUCUGCUAGUAAUCGCCAUUUCAGUAUCAGGGCGGACAAACCC